UAGGUCGUAUUAGCUUGUUGGUGAGGUAAUGGCUCACCAAGGCGACGAUCCGUAACUGGUCUGAGAGGAUGAUCAGUCACACUGGAACUGAGACACGGUCCAGACUCCUACGGGAGGCAGCAGUGGGGAAUAUUGGACAAUGGGCGAAAGCCUGAUCCAGCCAUGCCGCGUGUGUGAAGAAGGUCUUCGGAUUGUAAAGCACUUUAAGUUGGGAGGAAGGGCAGUAAGUUAAUACCUUGCUGUUUUGACGUUCCCG
rnacentral:rRNA from 1 species